AAACCGUCACUUGAUUAAACCGUAUUCAGUAGAUCCGGGAGGCUUGACCCGUAAGGAUCUUGACGUUACUAUCACCAUCAUCUUGUUAAGAAUAGCUAGGUUCAUAACAAUUUGUAUCAUCCAGAAAAUUUUGUGCCUACUCUGCAGUGGGGGAUUUGUUUGCUCAAUUGGAGGUAAUUAGGCUUGUAGAGAAGAGAUUAUUUUACCCGCAGAUGGAGAAAAUAAGGGUGUUGUGGGAUAGAAGCUUACCAGAUCGUGAACAUGUUCUUCAUCAAAUGGAUCUUCUCGUUUUCACCACAAAAAACCAGUUGGACUCACUCAACAAAUCUACUGCAUGAACUCGGCUUCAGCCAUCUGAAGAACAAGUAGUUGAAAAAGCUGAGAUUAUUGACGAGAUUGUCAACAAAGAAUCGGUAAUAGAUUUAAUUACUUCAGAGAAAGUGAUUGAUUUAACCCCAAGUCCCUUCACUUAUAUCAGAAGUAACAGAAGAUGAUUCUCUUGAUCUCGAGUUAAUUCCUUCCUUUUUCUUCAAGGGAAAAAAACACUCCAACAACGUUUAACCCACAUGAGGGAAAACCCCCUCCUAAUUUGAGUUAUUUAACUUGUAUUAGGGGUUCUCCAACUGAAAUUGUUGUCACUAAAAUGAUAAGAAGCUUCAACAGCCAUAACCAGCACAUAAUUGAGGUUAGUUGUGGGAGUGUUGAACUCUUAAAGGAGCUAAUUAUUGGUCACAAAAAUCCAAGUGGUAGUGAGGGUUUACAUUGAAGUUCUCGUGCAACCGAAAUUGGGUAUGGACCUGAUUGAAAAGCCUGCAACAACUCAACCACAAGGAGGUCAGUUAUACGAUCUACCUAGCAGGAGGAGAAGAUUGUGUGCUCAACACAUUAUUUUCCUCUUUGUCAGAUUUUUUGGUGUUGUAGCAUUUCAUAAUUACAGUAGGGGUACCCUUAGGGAUAUCAAGCUAAGAAUUAGAGAUUUGUACAUUGAAGAUUGUAUUUCAAAAGGGCAAGUAAAUGUUAGGUUCACUGAGGAUGAAGGAGUUUUCUAUGUUGGAUCAUGGAAAGUCAUGGGAACGAUCAAUACAACUGUUCUGCACUAUAACCUGAUUAAUCACACCUUGGAUAAUGUUUGUCGAUGCUUGCCUUGUUGUCAGUUGUUGGGCUUCUUACUUCGACAAAAAUGGCGUUCUAAAGAACUGUUAUUCUUUGGAAGGAAAGUGGAAUUGUACACACAGGUCCACUCAUCUCACAAACAUACAUCUACAACUAAUAGCACUACGAACCGAAGAGAUGGAUACGCUAAAGUAAAAGGGAGGGCAGGCCUGCGACUACGACCAUAUAUAGAUCCCAUUGGAGCUGAAGAAGAGCCAUCAACUUGCAUUCAUGAGAGUCAAUUUGUGGCGUUGGGUAAAUAGCUAUGUCAGCCAGCUACAAGGUGUAACAGUUGUAUUUCAAGAUGCAACCUGGAAGGACUCUCCAUCAGACUUGUUUGUUUUCAUGUCAUCCAUCCUUGAGGACAAGGAUGUUCUGAAAGGGACGGUAUUUGUUAUGCCCCAAGCCUAAGAUGAGGGUGCCCAUAUCAAUUCGAUGAAACUAUUUAGCAUAAUCUUUAGUUGGUAGCCUUUGACCAAAUUGUCUUUGUCGUUUAAAAUGAAGGGGUUAGGUGUAAACAUUUAGUGGCAUUAUAGCCGUUAGAUCUUGGGUAGUUUAUUUGAGUAAGAUUUAUAACAACCUAGAGUCUGUAUGAAGGAUCUUAUCAAAUUCUUAAUCAAAUCAUUCAAUCGAUUAAA